GAUGAACGCUGGCGGCGUGCCUAAUACAUGCAAGUCGAGCGAACGGACGAGAAGCUUGCUUCUCUGAUGUUAGCGGCGGACGGGUGAGUAACACGUGGAUAACCUACCUAUAAGACUGGGAUAACUUCGGGAAACCGGAGCUAAUACCGGAUAAUAUUUUGAACCGCAUGGUUCAACAGUGAAAGACGGUCUUGCUGUCACUUAUAGAUGGAUCCGCGCUGCAUUAGCUAGUUGGUAAGGUAACGGCUUACCAAGGCAACGAUGCAUAGCCGACCUGAGAGGGUGAUCGGCCACACUGGAACUGAGACACGGUCCAGACUCCUACGGGAGGCAGCAGUAGGGAAUCUUACGCAAUGGGCGAAAGCCUGACGGAGCAACGCCACGUGAGUGAUGAAGGUCUUCGGAUCGUAAAACUCUGUUAUUAGGGAAGAACAUAUGUGUAAGUAACUGUGCACAUCUUGACGGUACCUAAUCAGAAAGCAACGGCUAACUACGUG
rnacentral:rRNA from 1 species